ACGAACGCUGGCGGCGUGCUUAACACAUGCCAGUCGAACGGAAAGGCCCUUCGGGGUACUCGAGUGGCGAACGGGUGAGUAACACGUGGGUGAUCUGCCCUGCACUUUGGGAUAAGCCUGGGAAACUGGGUCUAAUACCGAAUAUGAUCAUCGGCUUCAUGGUCGGUGGUGGAAAGCUUUUGCGGUGUGGGAUGGGCCCGCGGCCUAUCAGCUUGUUGGUGGGGUAAUGGCCUACCAAGGCGACGACGGGUAGCCGGCCUGAGAGGGUGACCGGCCACACUGGGACUGAGAUACGGCCCAGACUCCUACGGGAGGCAGCAGUGGGGAAUAUUGCACAAUGGGCGCAAGCCUGAUGCAGCGACGCCGCGUGAGGGAUGACGGCCUUCGGGUUGUAAACCUCUUUCAGCACAGACGAAGCGCAAGUGACGGUAUGUGCAGAAGAAGGACCGGCCAACUACGUG
rnacentral:rRNA from 1 species